UGGCGGUGAUGUGGCUGACAGGUGGCCGCAGAUGUGUGCACUAUUGUGGCAAAGAUCUAUUGUGACACAUGGCAGAUUCUGAUAAUGUGGACUAAUGAUGUGGUUGGAAGCGUUGACUGAAAUCCUAACACUUUGACUAGCAUGUUAGAGGGCUUGCCGACUUUUGAUUGAUGUGAAAUUUCACCUCCCACUAUCUUUCAAUGCUGAAAAAGUUAGAUUUCUUUAUGUGCUAGUGCAUGUGAAUUUUAAAAAUUUUUCUAAAUUCAAAAUGCAG
rnacentral:lncRNA from 1 species